rnacentral:rRNA from 1 species
ACACAUUAGAUACCCCGGUAGUCCUGGCCGUAAACGAUGUGGACCUUGGUGUUGGAAUGGCUCCGAGCUGCCCCAGUGCCGAAGGGAAGCUGUUAAGUCCACCGCCUGGGAAGUACGGUCGCAAGACUGAAACUUAAAGGAAUUGCGGGGAGCACCACAACGCGUGGAGCCCUGCGGUUUAAUUGGAUUCAACGCCGGACAUCUCAUCAGGGCGACAGCAGAAUGAUGGCCAGGUUGAUGACCUUGCUUGACAGGCUG